rnacentral:lncRNA from 1 species
UCCUCUCGAUCAACCUUCUAUAGCACCUUCCGAAUUUCGCUAUCGAUCGAUCUUCUACCGAAUUCCUCAUGCAACUGGACCUCUCCAGCGUACAGUCUUCAGACAAGCUUCUACAUCAGACAAAUUCUAGAUAGACUUCUCUAACAAUCGGACUCCAGCCAAAUUUCUCCAAUAGAAAGUUUUCGUCUGGGCUUCUACAGCUGAUGGCUUUCGUCUGUAGCAUCAACGCCUAAGGCACCCAAUAAUAGUUAACCCAUCAGCAACCUCUAAAAUAUCUGAGCUUCUCUUAGAUUACUGAGACAGAGAGUUAUUCUGCUCCACCAGAUGUCCCAACCGAGCUUCAGCCGUCUGACCCGAACUCCCCGACAAGUCGUGACAACGGAUGCCACUACUCUCCAUAACAAACUCCACGUGGGCCCACCACUCUCUGGCAAGUUGCGACAACGGACAACACUACUCUCCAUAACAAACUCCACGUGGCCCCGAACGGCCCACUACCAGGCUGUUACGGACGUCGCUGUCAAUCGAUUACACUCUCUCAUCUAUAAAAGAGACCCCCCAGAUACGUUCUCCUCUAAGCUCUAAGC